GAUAGGUUAUGAUAAAGCUCUUGCUGCACGAACCAGAAGUGGUGUCAUAGCAGUGGUUUUACAUUCUUUACACAGAAGAACUAUAUUUGCUCUGCCUAGAACAUUUGCUUAAAACAAAUGAUCCCAGCAUCAAAUGGGUUUGGGCUGCACAUUUCAAGAAGCGCUUGUUUUCUGGCAUUGCUAAUGUGGGAACAAAGAAAUGACAAGGAUUGUGUGGAGGUCUUUAACUGAGGCAUUAGCUGGUGCCAUCAAGGAGAUCUGCUUUUUGACAUGAGGAGAAG
rnacentral:lncRNA from 1 species